rnacentral:lncRNA from 10 species
ACACAGUUCCUGGCCAGACAGCUGCUUCCCAGUGACAAAUCUACUUUAGAUCAAGAGUGAAAUCAUCCAGAAUAGAGUGAAUUCGGGCUUCAGAGCGGCUGUUUAGGAUUCAGAGCUCUACCAACAUGAGCAAUCUGUUGGCAUGACAGGUCAGAGAAGCCGUGAAGGACAUGGAAGGAAGUAGAUGGAACUGGAAACAGGAGGCCAACCCCAGCAGUCAGUGGUGCUCAGAAAAAAAUAAGACACUGAAAUUUGAGGACUUAAUGGAGUUUGGUGCCUUCAGUUAGCUGAUGUCUAUGAAGCCUGACCAGUCUACUUCUAGUCUAUAAGAUCAUGUGGAAGCUUCAGUGACAAACUUCUACUUUACUAAUGAUUUUAUGAUCCUGUUACCCAUUGCAAUUGCUUAAAUGGUAUUUUAAUUAGCUGCUUUAAAUGACUUUGCUUUUUUACAAAAAGCAGUGUGUGCUUUAGUUUAAAAUAUGGGUCACUGGUGUUUCUUUCUAGAAGAUGACUGUGUUUAGUACCAGGGAAAAUUGGUGAUGUAUUUGGAGAGGUUUUAACUUCUGUAACUCAGGUUGAUAUCUGGAAUGUGAGUGUUUCCAUACUUCCGUGGAUGCAGCAAAUUUAUAUAAAGCGUUAUUAAAUUUGUUCUAGUUUUUAA